rnacentral:sRNA from 1 species
AACCCCAUGUGGGGAGGAAGUGGCUGAGUGUUUGGGGGGGGUAUCUUCCAGGGACACUGGCCCAGGGGGAGCUGAAUGAGAUGAGGACCCGCCUCUACCUCAACCUGGGCCUCACCUUUGAGAGCCUGCAGCAGACAGCCCUGUGCAACGAUUACUUCAGGAAGAGCAUCUUCCUUGCGGAGUAAGGCCCUGCCCCGCCCCAGGAGGGAGUGGAGUCCCUUGUUCCUGGAGGAAGUAGUUAGGGGAGUAUUUUUCCCAGGGUCCUCCUGAGACAGCAGUCUGGCUGGGCCUCAUCCCCCCACCUCUCACACCUGUGCCGCACACUGGGAGAAGGCCAGGCAUGGUUAGGGCCCUGAGACCACAGCAUGGCAGGGCUGGAGCCCGUGUGGCAUCAGCAGCUGUCAUGGACACUCCUGGGUGCUCAGUGGUCGUCACCCCUCUGCAGGCAGAACCACCUUUAUGAGGACCUAUUCCGCGCCCGCUACAACCUGGGCACCAUCCACUGGCGCGCGGGCAAGCACUCCCAGGCUAUGCGCUGCUUGGAGGGUGCCCGGGAGUGUGCGCACACCAUGAGGAAGCGGUUCAUGGAGAGCGAGUGCUGCGUGGCUAUUGCACAGGUACCCGCUGUGCGUGGCUCCGAGCUCAGGCUCUCGUAGAUUCGGGCCUUGGGGAUUCUGCAAAACCUUUGCUGUCCUUUGCUCUCCAGGUCCUCCAAGACCUGGGAGACUUUUUGGCUGCCAAGCGAGCCCUGAAGAAGGCCUACAGGCUGGGCUCCCAGAAGCCUGUGCAGAGGGCAGCCAUCUGUCAGAACCUCCAGCAUGGUGAGCCUGGGGGUCCGAAUGGGGCCCUGGGAGGUGUGUGCAGGGGUGAGCCUGGGGGCGGGGUGGAGUCCCGCCAGGUGUGUACAGGGCUCUCUCCCUCACAGAGGAGGCCUGAGCACCUGUCCUUGGAGGCAGCAGCUUCAGCAAGAGGGGCAGGUACCCCUACUUCCUGACAGGAGAAGACCCCCUUUUUUCUCUGAGCUCAACACAGUGUGUCAGGGGCAAUGAAAGGGCGGCCAGGAGACCAGCUGGGCUUUUAUUUCGCAGCCACCAUCUUCAUUGGCAAACUGGAGACAGUAGUUGUACCCCUAGCCUCCCAGGGUGGGAGAGGGGAUGGCAUGCGUGUGGUCCAGGAGUGCUGAUGGCAGAGACCACCACUGGAGGCUGGCAGCAGUCAGCCCUUACCUUGAGCCAGGCACCAUCCAUGUUGUGUUGUUUUUUUUCUUGAGAUGGAGUCUCACUCUGUCGCCCAGGCUGGAGUGCAGUGGCAUGAUCUCGGCUCACUGCAAGCUUUGCUUCCCGGGUUCAUGCCAUUCUCCUGCCUCAGCCUCCCGAGUAGCUGGGACUACAGGUGCCCGCCACCACACCCGGCUAAUUUUUUGUAUUUUUAGUAGAGACAAGGUUUCACCAUGUUAGCCAGGAUGGUCUCGAUCUCCUGACCUCAUGAUCUGCCCGCCUCGGCCUCCCAAAGUCCUAGGAUUACAGGCGUGAGCCACUGUACCUGGCCCCGAGUUUUUAAGUGUGUUAGUUCUUGUGACCCUUGAGACCAGUCCCCAAGAUAGACCCUGCUAUUAACCCCCACACCAACAGGCAGGCAGAGGUGUGGAGAGGGUGGGGGGGCCACCACAGGGCUCACAGCUUGCAGGUGGUAGAGCUGGGGUCAGGGCCCCCUGUGCUGCCCCCCUGCAUGAACCUCUUCCCGGCAGUGCUGGCAGUGGUCCGGCUGCAGCAACAGCUGGAAGAGGCCGAGGGCAGAGACCCUCAGGGUGCCAUGGUCAUCUGUGAGCAGCUAGGGGACCUCUUCUCCAAGGCAGGAGACUUUCCCAGGGCAGCUGAGGCUUACCAGAAGCAGGUGUGUGGCCCCGGCUGGGUGGGAGGGAAGGGCCAGUGAGGUUGACGAGGCCUGGCCAGGGUGGCAGCCCCUGGCCUCACUGGCACUGCCCCCAGUUGCGUUUUGCUGAGCUGCUGGACAGACCGGGUGCCGAGCGGGCCAUCAUCCACGUGUCCCUGGCCACCACACUGGGAGACAUGAAGGACCACCAUGGGGCCGUGCGCCACUAUGAGGAGGAACUGAGGCUGCGCAGCGGCAACGUGCUGGAGGAGGCCAAGACCUGGCUGAACAUUGCACUGUCUCGCGAGGAGGCCGGCGAUGCCUACGAGCUGCUGGCCCCGUGCUUCCAGAAAGCGCUCAGCUGUGCCCAGCAGGCCCAGCGUCCCCAGCUGCAGAGGCAGGUCUUGCAGCAUCUCCAUACCGUGCAGCUGAGGCUGCAGCCCCAGGAGGCCCCUGAGACCGAAACCAGACUACGGGAGCUCAGUGUAGCUGAAGAUGAAGAUGAGGAGGAGGAGGCGGAGGAGGCGGCAGCCACAGCGGAGAGCGAAGCCCUGGAGGCCGGCGAGGUGGAGCUCUCAGAGAGCGAGGAUGACGCCGAUGGCCUGACCCCGCAGCUGGAGGAGGACGAGGAGCUUCAGGGCCACCUGGGCCGGCGGAAGGGGAGCAAGUGGAACCGGCGAAACGACAUGGGGGAGACCCUGCUGCACCGAGCCUGCAUCGAGGGCCAGCUGCGCCGCGUCCAGGACCUUGUGAGGCAGGGCCACCCCCUGAACCCUCGGGACUACUGUGGCUGGACACCUCUGCACGAGGCCUGCAACUACGGGCAUCUAGAAAUUGUCCGCUUCCUGCUGGACCACGGGGCCGCAGUGGACGACCCAGGUGGCCAGGGCUGCGAAGGCAUCACCCCCCUCCACGAUGCCCUCAACUGUGGCCACUUCGAGGUGGCUGAGCUGCUGCUUGAACGGGGGGCGUCCGUCACCCUCCGCACUCGAAAGGUGAGCCUGGUGGGGCAGAGGGCAAGGGCGAGGUUAUGGGGGCUCUGUGCCCCUGCUCAACUGAUGCCACACAGGGCCUCAGCCCGCUGGAGACGCUGCAGCAGUGGGUGAAGCUGUACCGCAGGGACCUGGACCUGGAGACGCGGCAGAAGGCCAGGGCCGUGGAGAUGCUGCUCCAGGCGGCUGCCUCGGGCCAAGAUCCCCACAGCUCCCAGGCCUUCCACACCCCAAGCAGCCUUCUGUUUGACCCCGAGACCUCUCCUCCUUUGAGCCCCUGCCCAGAACCCCCCUCUAAUAGCACUAGACUCCCAGAGGCCUCUCAGGCCCAUGUCAGGGUCUCCCCAGGGCAGGCGGCACCAGCCAUGGCCAGGCCUCGGAGGAGCAGGCAUGGGCCAGCCAGCAGCAGCAGCAGCUCAGAAGGCGAGGACAGCGCAGGCCCCGCACGGCCGUCCCAGAAGAGGCCUCGGUGCUCGGCCACAGCACAACGGGUGGCGGCCUGGACGCCUGGCCCCGCCAGCAACAGGGAAGCAGCCACAGCCAGCACCAGCCGGGCAGCCUACCAGGCAGCCAUCCGGGGUGUGGGCAGUGCUCAGAGCCGGCUGGGGCCUGGCCCACCGCGGGGCCACAGCAAAGCCCUUGCCCCCCAGGCAGCGCUCAUCCCGGAGGAGGAGUGCCUGGCCGGGGACUGGUUGGAGCUGGACAUGCCCCUGACCCGCAGCCGCCGGCCCCGCCCCCGGGGCACUGGCGACAACCGCAGGCCCAGUAGUACCUCUGGGUCGGACAGUGAGGAGAGCAGGCCCCGUGCCCGAGCCAAGCAGGUCCGCCUGACCUGCAUGCAGAGUUGCAGUGCGCCAGUUAACGCAGGGCCCGGCAGCCUGGCUUCAGAACCUCCAGGGAGCCCCAGCACCCCCAGGGUCUCAGAGCCCAGUGGGGACAGCUCUGCGGCAGGCCAGCCCUUGGGUCCGGCCCUGCCCCCUCCCAUCCGGGUUCGAGUUCAAGUUCAGGAUCAUCUGUUCCUCAUCCCUGUCCCACACAGCAGUGACACCCACUCUGUGGCCUGGCUGGCCGAGCAGGCGGCCCAGCGCUACUACCAGACCUGCGGGCUGCUGCCCAGGCUCACCCUACGGAAAGAGGGGGCCCUGCUGGCCCCCCAGGACCUCAUCCCUGACGUGCUGCAGAGCAAUGACGAGGUGUUGGCUGAGGUGACUUCGUGGGACCUGCCCCCGUUGACUGACCGCUACCGCAGGGCCUGCCAGAGCCUGGGGCAAGGGGAGCACCAACAGGUGCUGCAGGCCGUGGAGCUCCAGGGCUUGGGCCUCUCGUUCAGCGCCUGCUCCCUGGCCCUGGACCAGGCCCAGCUUACACCCCUGCUGCGGGCCCUCAAGCUGCACACAGCACUCCGGGAGCUGCGCCUGGCAGGGAACCGGCUGGGGGACAAGUGUGUGGCUGAGCUGGUGGCUGCCCUGGGCACCAUGCCCAGCCUGGCCCUCCUUGACCUCUCCUCCAAUCACCUGGGUCCCGAAGGCCUGCGCCAGCUUGCCAUGGGGCUCCCAGGCCAAGCCACCUUGCAGAGUUUGGAGGAGCUGGACUUAAGCAUGAACCCCCUGGGGGACGGCUGUGGCCAGUCCCUGGCCUCCCUCCUGCGCGCCUGCCCCUUACUCAGCACCCUGCGCCUGCAGGCGUGUGGCUUCGGCCCCAGCUUCUUUCCGAGCCACCAGACAGCACUGGGUAGUGCUUUCCAAGGUGAGCUGACCAGGCACUCCCUGUCUACUCCCUAGCCCUGGGGCAUUGAGGGUUUCGAGGACUUUCAGAGGGGGCCCGGGCUGGGCACACAGGGGCAACACCUGUGGUCCCAGCUACUUGAGAGGCUGAGGCGGGAGUAUCGCUUGAGCCAAGAGUUCCAGGAAAGCCUGGCUCACAUAGUGAGACCCCAUCCCUUAAGAAAAAAACGUCUAGGCCAGGCGCAGUGGCUCACGCCUGUAAUCCCAGCACUUUGGGAGGCCAAGGCGGGCAGAUCACGAGGUCAGGAGAUCGAGACCAUCCUGGCUAACACGGUGAAACCCCGUCUCUAUUAAAAAUACAAUUAGCUGGGCGUGGUGGCCGGCGCAUGUAGUCCCAGCUACGCAGGAGGCUGAGGCAGGAGAAUGGCGUGAACCCGGGAAGCGGAGCUUGCAGUGAGCCGAGAUCGCGCCAUUGCACUCCAGCCUGGGCGACAGAGCAAGACUCCGUGUCAAAAAAACGAAACAAACAACGUCUAGGGGCCUGGGAUGCCAGACCUGGGUCUCCGGGAGGGCCUGGCACCUGGGAGCAAUAGAUGGAUGUGUGGGUACAGGGUCUGCCUCCGAGGGGCGUCUGGUGCCCACCUAGCCAGGCUGACCCCCGCAGGACACACCGAGAGCAGAGUCCGGGCAGCUAGUGUCUUGUGGUCCCCAUCCCGUGCUCGCCAGCUGAGUGCUGUUCGCCUGAGGCAGUUCCACUGUGAGCCCACUCAGGCUGCAGAGACUGGGGUCCCAGUGCCAAGAGGCUGGGAAUUGGGUGUCAUCCAGGGGUGGGGGAGUGUAAGGGGGGCAACAAUGGUCAGUGCACUCCCCUGGCACCCCCACCGUGCAGAGGCAUGUGGCCCAGGACUGUGUGGUUGUGGGGUGGGAGAGGGCAAGUUGUCCAGAACUGGGGGCAGCCGAGCUUGGAAGUCUGGCCCCGCCCUCCCAGCUAGGAGAACCUGGGCGAGAGCCUUUGCCUCUGCACUUGCCACCCCACCCUGCGAGCACUGCGGUAGUGGUUUCCCCGAAGGGGUCCUGAGGGUUCUGGGCCCAGAACUUGGGGUGGGUACAGGGCUGUGGCCACGUGGGGCUGACGGAUUCUGGCCCCGGUGCAGAUGCUGAGCACCUGAAGACCCUGUCCCUGUCCUACAACGCCCUGGGAGCCCCUGCCCUGGCCAGGACCCUGCAGAGCCUGCCCGCUGGCACCCUCCUGCACUUAGAGCUCAGCUCCGUGGCAGCCGGCAAGGGUGAUGCGGACCUCAUGGAGCCUGUAUUCCGAUACCUGGCCAAGGAAGGCUGUGCUCUAGCCCACCUGACCUUGUCUGCAAACCACCUGGGGGACAAGGCUGUUAGAGACCUGUGCAGAUGUCUCUCUCUGUGCCCUUCACUCAUCUCGCUGGAUCUGUCUGCCAACCCUGAGAUCAGCUGUGCCAGCUUGGAAGAGCUCCUGUCCACCCUCCAAAAGCGGCCCCAAGGCCUUAGCUUCCUUGGCCUGUCAGGCUGCGCCGUCCAGGGUCCCCUGGGCCUGGGCCUGUGGGACAAGAUAGCCGCGCAGCUCCGGGAACUGCAGCUGUGCAGCAGACGCCUCUGCGCCGAGGACAGGGACGCCCUGCGCCAGCUGCAGCCCAGUCGGCCGGGCGCCGGCGAGUGCACGCUGGACCACGGCUCCAAGCUCUUCUUUCGGCGCCUCUGACCCCGGCGCCGCCUUUCCCCACCCUCACCGAAGCCCCUAAUAAAUGACGCUGCUGGCUGGGCGUGGUGGCUCACGCCUGUAAUCCCAACACUUUGGGAGGCCCAGGCGGGCGGAUCACGAGGUCAGGAGAUCGAGACCAUCCUGGCUAACAUGGUGAAACCCCGUCUCUGCUAAAAAUACCAAAAAUUAGCCAGGCGUGGUGGCGGGCGCCUGUAGUCCCAGCUACUCGGGAGGCUGAGGCAGGAGAAUGGCGUGAACCCGGGAGGCGGAGCUUGCAGUGAGCCGAGAUCGCGCCCCUGCACUCCAGCCUGGGCGACAGACCGAGACUCCGUCUCAAAAAAAAAUAAAAUAAAAUAAAUGAAGCUGC